rnacentral:rRNA from 1 species
UACAGAGGGUGCGAGCGUUGUUCGGAAUUAUUGGGCGUAAAGGGCGCGUAGGCGGUGCGGUAAGUCACCUGUGAAAUCUCCUGGCUCAACUGGGAGCUUGCAGGCGAAACUGGAGUGCUUGAGCGUGGGAGAGGAAAGCGGAAUUCCUGGUGUAGCGGUGAAAUGCGUAGAUAUCAGGAGGAACACCUGUGGUGUAGACGGCUUUCUGGACCAUAGCUGACGCUGAGACACGAAAGCGUGGGUAGCAAACAGG